rnacentral:rRNA from 1 species
UACGUAGGCAGCAAGCGUUGUUCGGAAUUACUGGGCGUAAAGAGUGUGUAGGCGGUGUUCCAAGUCUGGUGUGAAAUCUCCCGGCUUAACUGGGAGGGUGCAUUAGAAACUGGAAUGCUAGAGGAUGGGAGAGGCAAGCGGAAUUCCUGGUGUAGCGGUGAAAUGCGUAGAUAUCAGGAGGAACACCUGUGGUGUAGACAGCUUACUGGACCAUUUCUGACGCUGAGACACGAAAGCGUGGGUAGCAAACAGG